CCCAUCGACCAGAGGUCGCGUUUGACAUCAGUACCUGUUUGGAGCUGAAAAGCAGCAACGAUAAACAGCGAAAGGGGAAAACGCCGAAGCGUACGGCCGCUUUUUCAGCCGUACGCUGGGCUUUGAUCCAAAAGGUCAAAGACUGUCGUAGUUUAUACGGUUUCUGCACUGCAGAGGCCCGGACAGCUACGGAGCGCUAUCGAGAUC
rfam:Scardovia wiggsiae F0424 genomic scaffold supercont1.2, whole genome shotgun sequence.